rnacentral:rRNA from 1 species
UACGAAGGGGGCUAGCGUUGUUCGGAAUUACUGGGCGUAAAGCGCACGUAGGCGGAUAUUUAAGUCAGGGGUGAAAUCCCAGAGCUCAACUCUGGAACUGCCUUUGAUACUGGGUAUCUUGAGUAUGGAAGAGGUAAGUGGAAUUCCGAGUGUAGAGGUGAAAUUCGUAGAUAUUCGGAAGGACACCAGUGGCGAAGGCGGCUCACUGGCCCGUUACCGACGCUCAGGCGCGACAGCGUGGGGAGCAAACAGG